rnacentral:lncRNA from 1 species
AUGAGGACUGGGUACUCUCAGAAACCGUGGCGGGUCAUGAAGCUGAAUCAGAGGGGAGGCCUGGGAAGCUGGGUCUUCAGCAGCUCACUGCUGGGGGCGCCUUUCUGCCUGUCCACCUGCUUUCAUUUCUCCCCCUCGCCCUCCCCACUCCACGUUUGCCCUCACAGCUUACGCAGCGCGGCCGCCGCCCUGCAAGCCCAGAGCCCGGUUUUGUUGAGUCCUCUUUCGCUGGGUGUGGGCUGCGAGUCGGUGAGUCACGAGCCUGGGCAGAGGUCAAAGGACAAACUCCACCAUCCCUUGUUCGGCCCGUGGAUGAGAGCGGGGCCAGUACCGAGACUGUGCCUUCCACAGCGUCCUCGUGAUGCCUUGGACGGACUGUGAUGGGCUAACGGAGCAACUCUGCCAGGCUGGCAAGGAAGUGAAGAGACAACUCCAAGCCUAGGACGCCGCCCGGAUCAGGCUCAGUUGUGCGCCUUCCUUCAUCCCCUCAUCCGCCUCCCCUGCUGUGGAGUGCAGGUGGCUGGGGAUGUCACUGGGAGCAGGAGACCUGUUCCCUGCUCUGUGGAAGACGCUAGUCAGGACAGGGACAGGUGGAUGAGUGGAGGGGGGUGCAGAACAUGCAGCCUGUCCCUUGCCCAGGACUUAACUGGGCCAACACAUCCCUGCAGGAUCAACCCUUACAAAGCCAGAGAGGUAAGGAGUACAUGCUGAUUAUUUAAUGACAGUAACUAGCCUCGGUCCCAGCAGUUUCCUUGUGUUAAUUCAUUUCAUCCCCACAGUGCUAUGAGGCGGAUCAUGUGGUUAGUUUCCUGUUACCACUGAGGACACUGAGGCACAGAUGGGUUAAACAGCAGUCCAAGGUCACACGGCAAGUAAGUAGCAAAUCCUGGGCUCAAACCCACAAAG